CGGGUUCUGCUCUUCUCGAGGACGGCACUUUUCCAGUGGCCGAUAAGCAUUUCCGAGGGGGCUGGCUCUGCCGGGAUUCUGGUCCCGGUAUCUGGCGCCCACCUGAUUCGUCAGGCUCUCGGGAAAACACAGCCCGAUACGGUCGCUGCGGGCCCGCC
rnacentral:sRNA from 1 species